GCCCCAGGGUUUGCUAGGCCAGCCGGGCUGCCAGGGAAAAGACCUCUGAAAGCUACGCUCACAAGACAGCAGGGUUAGCCACUAGCUCCAAGCAUGCCACCUUCUGUCUCCUGCUAGAGGAAAUCUUGUCUAGCUAAACUAGAACAGAGUGGAACGGGGGAAAAUUUCAGCUAAUUCUUGCAAAGGGCUGGCUGGGAAGUAUCAUGAGGUCUUGCAGGGAGAUAAGCAGAUGCAGAGAGAGGUUACACCUGCAUUAGGAAGCAGCAAGGUGUGGUAGGAGCGGAUCUGGGGAGUGAAAUGUUUGGUGCUGGUCCAAUGUAUUUGCUUGGGAUAGGUCUGAUCUGGCCCCAUGGCUUGGAACAUUCAAUAGCAGCUGGGACAUGUUGUGUGGGUCUCUGGAGCUCAGCGUGUCAUUUAGUUUUGUCUGAAAGGAAUCCAGUUCUGCAGCGUGGACCUAAAUGCAGUAAGUGGGGAAGGUCAGGAGAGUUGCCUCAAAAGGGCUGUCCUGCUCCAAAAUAAAACAAACACCGAUCCAGCUGCAGAAGAGUCUGCAGGAAGCUGGUCAAACCAGCCUCUCACUGCCGGAAAUAGCUAAUGAGAGUUAAUCUGAACACGCACGGCCUGUUUUAGUGUGUUUAUAACAUAUUCACUCUGAAAUGCUUUUGUUCCAAGGAAGCAAUACUUUGCAAUCAGGAAGUUGCUUGUUUCGUGAUUAGCCUUGCUGUUGUCCCCGAGGGAAGGGAUGGCACUGUCUGGACAGACUUUGAAUUGCUGAGAAAACUUGCAUCUGGUACUCCACCCCGGAUCCAGUCUACAGGUGGAAAAGUUGCCUGGUUCCUGCUGAUGACUUUGGAUUUAGGAGCCAAGAGAUGGUGAGCUGUGUGGGGCACAGCAUCACAUCAGAGUGGUGAGAAGUGUAGGUCACCAACUCGCUGGGACAUGAGUUUCCAGCCUCCGUUUGGCAGGAAGAUGUACAGUUACCAACCUGGAUCUCAGUGGGAAACAGGGCUGCUCUGAUUGCCGUGGAGUGAGCUGGAUCUGCAAGCUUAUCCGGAGCCAGUCGAGGUGUCCACAGCAGCAGCGUCGGCAGUUUUUUCUUACCCCUUGUGCAGUACAUCAAGACGUGUUUCCAUCCCUGUGCCCAUGCCAGGAGGAGGUACUGGCUCACCCAGCGCCGGCGUGGAUGGCUCCCAGUUCCCUUCAGCAAAAGCUCCGGCAGCGGCGGCCCCCCCGUGCUGCCUCCUGCCUGCGCCUCUGCCUGCCCUGGCGAGGCAGGACCCACGUCCUGAAGGGCGACCGUCUGUCCUGUGAGCCCCUGGAGCCCACGGCCUCUUCACCGGCGUCAGACCCAAGCGUCCUCCUGACAGCUCCAGCUGCACCGGGAGUCCCCAGCAUGUGCCAGGCCCUUGAAGGUGCUCAGCAUCUCUUCUUUUCAUCCAGACGUCAAGGCUUUCCGUCCGUCUCCCUCAAGCUGAGUCUGAGCCUGGAGGCACAGAGGUUACGGAGCUUUUUACCCCCCAACCAUCUGCACUCCAGAAUCAUCCUGUCUCGUAUGAUUUUCCAGCGGGGAAGAGACAGGCUGGGCAUUGAGAACUGGAGACUGCCGUGCGCCUUGGAAGUCCCAACAUGCCAUGAGUGGCCAAGACCUGCUAAAGUACGGUGACCAGGAGAGCUGCAGACACUGGAUUCCUAAGACCUGUGCUUUUCCUAGCACCUUCAUAAAGUUUCCUGAAUUAAAAUGAUUCAGGAAACACAUUUUCAGACUGUCAGUGAGAUGCAUUAAUCACUCCCGUGAAUAUGCACCAGAUUGUUAAUGCUUCGGGCCAAAUACCAUGUCUUUUUUAAUGCCUACAAAAUGUAGUGCAUGUUGCUGGCUCCAUAUUUAUAAUAAUUAUAAAAGUAACGGGAGUAGCUGCAUUCCUAUAGGCUAGAAAUGGUCAGGCACAGACCAAAAAAAAAAUGAUUCAUUGUUGCAAUUAAUGCUUGAGCUUGCACCUGUGAUUAAUUAGCCUGGCGAUAGCGCUAUGCAAAAGAUCAGGGUGAGAAUUAAUAGGGAGACAAGUGCUGACUUUUAAGAUGGUUGGACUACUAUUUAGUGCUCCUUCCUUGGGCUGCCUCUGCCCGUUUAAUUAAAGGCAAUGGCACAGGCUGGCUAUGCACCAGUAGACCCAUAGGCAGGUGGUGCAGAAUAUUUAUAUAACAGUGUUCUGUAGAAAACGUCAAAAUUAAAUUCCCAUCCAGGUCUCUAAAUAUAAUUUUGAAAUGUCAGAGAUGCUAAGAAGAAUGCUGGCACCGGAUGAGACUGCUGUCAGGAAGAGGCAAUAGCGUGCCAGAUUUAUACUGGUCUAAAUACGCAGGUGACUUCAGCUCUUGUGUGCAAGGCAGCCUAAAAUGCUCUGAUGGAUGUCCUUCAUCUGGUGGGAGGCAGAGGAACCAAGAGGAACAUGUGCUAGAGAGAUACCACCGAGUGUGAAUGAGAAGGGAGCGGGUACGGAGAACACGGUGUUGAUGGAUGUGGCCUGAUCAGAUGCUAAUGGAGAGAAGAAGGAUGAGAGAUGUUCCACUGGGAAAAGCUCUCUCUGGAAAGGGCUUUAGUACCUUUCCUGGAGCACCACGUCAGUGACAGGGUGGCAGUUUGCCUCUCUUAAAUGACCUUUUGAUGACUUUCAUCUCACAAGGUGACUCCGAUGGGCAAGAUGGAGCAGGGGCAUCUCCCAAGAGCCUGCAAGUUCCCGUGAAGCACAAAUACUCUGAAGCACCAACCUUUUAAGGUGCAUCUCAAUCACCUUCUUCUGAUGGCUGCUCCACCUCUCCUGCCAGCCCCCCUCCAGUUUGGAGAAUAAAAGCCAAUCAAACAUGCACUAGAGCCGGUAUUCAGGAGGUGAUCUGAUACUUUAAAGAAUGUGACAUACAAAUAUAUGUUCCAAACGAUGAUACUUUCAUGUUGCAUCGGUUAUACACACUUCGAGUCAGAUUAACUGGUGUAUCUUCUCUUCAAGAAAGCAAUUUAAUAACAAACUCGGGGAAUGGUACCUCUUCAGUGAACGCGGCUCAUGUGUCACAGCUCUUGAAGUGAUGGUGUGGGAGGCUUUUUUCUGGACAGUUUGCCUGGUGUGGCAGAUAAAUUGACCUUAUUAAUCUGCUUUUAUUAUAUGCUAAGAUCAGAAUAAUUUUGCUUGCUGCUUUUCUGUAGCGUCUAUUGUGGAUGCGUUUUUGUUUUAGGGGGUAAGUCAUUUCAGCUGAAAUGCAGUUAGGGACAUUUGCAUACACAUUUAUAUGGGCUAAUUAAAAACUUACCAUCAGAGUUGCUUUUCUGCUAACCACCACUGUACAGCAAAAUGGUUGUUACUUUUUGGAAAUAUCUGCUUCAGUGCAGGAAUAUGAACUUUUGUAAAAUCAUUUGAUCAAAUCUUUGGGGUUUAGAUUUUCAAUGAAUAAUCAAUAUUUGCAACAAUAGAUUUAAACAAAAAAUGGUGUUCAUUGAACUUUCUCUGCAGGAAAAAUCUAUAACAUGUAUUAUUAAAUAUAAAGAGGCUUAUGUUCUCGAGUUUCAUCAUGCCACAGCUUAUAAUAGCCCUUCAGAAGCUCAAAACAGGUUUUUUUUUUUUCAUUAAACAAAAUGUUGCAUUCCCCCUGCUGCAUUCAUUACAGGCAGCAUAUUGGAAGGUGCCUGUGCCCAGCAGUUCUGGCCUGGAGGGCUGCGCUCAUCCGUCUCCGUCAAUGCCGCGAGCUAUUUCAUAAGCAAUGGAAAUAUGUAUUUCAAAAGUGGAUGUGUAAGGGAUGACGGCAACAUCAGAGGUGUGAGGAACAGCGAAGGGACAUUUUCUUUGUGGCGUUUUCAUGGAUCUCCCUCCUGAGUAUCUAAGCGGGGAAACGGCGACUUCGACAGAGGUCCCUGGUGAUUAAGGGUGUAGCUGAUGAUGGGUGCAGCUCUUCCCUCGAGUCUCCCUCCAGCCCGUGGUCUUAACCCCGACCUGUGAGAAGUUCCCGCUCUCACUCAGAGAUAAAAUGCCUCUAUGCAGUUGCUUAUGCGGUUGGACAUUUUAGGAAACGAUAGUGGUCUCUAGGGCUGGGAAUACAAGGAUUUCCAGUGCCACCACCAAGGAGCUGGGGGAAAAAUCUGUGUCCCUUCAGUUGUUGGAUUUGCCAGAAGCGGGACUUGCAUCACUUUGGCAGCCAGGCAGACUUGGAUUGAAGAAAUGCUUCAGUCAUGUUUUCGUUCCCCAUGGCUAAGUUCCAAUAUCCAAAAUGGGAUUACCAGAAGUGAAAUGCAGUUGAGUUUUGCCUCUGCUGACCUUCAGCAGCUGCUGUUCCAGCCCUGGCUCCCCGGAGAGCUCUGGGGAUGCACCUCCAUACUCAUGUGUCAGUCUGAUAUUCCUGUCUUGAGCCUGUCCUAAGCCGAGGCUGCCAACUAAUACACAUACCCAACUGCAGAGAUGUCACAAGCCGAUGGAGACCUUUCCUGCAGCACUUACAAAUAUGUUUUGCAAGGCAAAAAUAAGCAGUAAUGCAAACAUCGUACUCUUUUUUUUCUUUUUUUUUUUCUUUCUUUUUCCCCCCUUUGCUUCAGGAAAGCAGGAAGAGGCGAGAAAGGAUUGAUACUUUAUCCCACUGAGGGCUUUUUCUAAGAUGCCUGCUGGGAACACUCACUAUAUUCUCUUUAGGUAGUAGCUCUUUUGAUUUUCUCGCUGCCUUGCAAGUCACACUGAGGUGCCUGGAGAAGGAUUUGCUGAUUGCUUAUGAAAUCCAUUCUCCCUUGAGGAUCUGCUCUUUCCAUCCUGAUAAACUUUUAAUUCUUGCUUUCUAAUAACGCUGAGGGACUGUGUUCUAUGCCUUUAUGAGGGUUUUGUGAUUGAUGUUCAUCUGCGCUUGCAGGAGACCAGUAACCUCAUUUCAUUUUUGACAGAGCGUCAGGACAAGCGCUCUGUAUCCUUCUCCCUUCUUGGUCAGGUAUGAAUGAAAGUAAAGCGGAUACGAUCUGCCCAGGUCUGUCAGCCUGGCUCAAUUCUUCUCUCUCACCAUAUUGCUAAACUUCUGACACUGUUUCUGUCCAGUGUGGCAUCUGGGCAUGUGUUUAAAGGACACGGUCAGCUUAUUUUUGAUAUCGUUCUGUUAUCUUGUUUUUAUUCUUGGUUCUGUACGCUAACGUCUGGGAUAUUUGGAAGUAGCUGUUGUAACUUGACGUGGGAGUAGAUUGCUUAAAUAAUACCUUACAGAGUCAGGGUAAAUUUAUAGAAGAUGAGACCUGGACCCCAAAUGCCUUUUUUUAACCUGUUACUGUCUUUUCUUCAGUUCUAUUCUCUCUGCUCACUCUUUCUGAUCUAUUUCUAGCAGUUUUCAGAUGAACACGGCUCAUGUUUUAUGUUUAGACUGACCUCAUCUGUGAUACCGCAACGGUUUCUACAUGGCCAGUGAAGAGAUCUUACACCUAGGUGCAUGCACACGUGCACACACACCGGUACACACCACUGGUGAAGGAUUUGUCAGCAUGAGAAGUCCUGGAGGAAAAAUGCCCAUAAUGAAUUCAUAGAAAAUACACAAAAUACUAUACCCAGAUAGCCAGGAGAAAGGACAUUGGGAGCACCUGUACUGAAAGGGAGAAGGUAAAAGAGCCUGUGAGCAUACCCUGCUUCCUGUGCUGUUAUGCUGAUUCUAAACGCAGGUCUGAACGCAAGCUCGAUGGCAACUCUCUGCUCCAUCUGCCAAGGCUCCAGCUCCAAACAGCUUCUCGGCAUCCACCACCUUCUUUUUCAAAACCAGGCACCAACACUGGGGACUGGAAGCCUGCAGCUGGGAGCAAAGAGUGUCUGCCGCAGCCUGCUGAAGCCCAUCGGCCAAGGCACCCCCAGACACAGCAGUGCAGCCCCUUUCCAGCAGCCGAGCCAUGUGCAGCGGCUGUGGCACAAGGGAGACAUGCGUCUCACAGUUCCCAACACAACCGCAAGCAAUAUCCUGAACGGUGCUUUCUAACUUCAGGUGAAGAAAAGCAACAGAAGCAGAUGGUCUUGUAAACAGCGGAGAUCUGGCUCUCCCACAGAGGUCCGUGCGGAGUGGAAAGGAGCAGAAUGGUGCACCAAGGGGACACUCGCAAGGGAAACAGGAAGAAAAAGCCAGUGCUGACAUAACCUGUCAGGGCCUUCAGGCCAGGUGUUGACAAACCUCCCAGUCCAUCUAGCCGCCCCCAAGAAGCAGUACGGGAACUGUUUCUUGAAGGGAGACUACUGCAGAUCCCGUGGAGAGCAAGAGUCACGGAGAAAAGAUACCUAUGAAAGAUGGUUCCAGGUUGGGAUUUUACAGAGGUUUGUGCUUGAUCUAGGGUUGAAGAGUUGGUGUUUCUAUUUUUCGUGGGGAUUGGGAGGGGAGAGAUUACUGAGUCCCCGAGUCUUAAUGUAAAAUGAUUAGAAUCUGGAACAGAUUCCCCAAAAAAGACAUUUAGGGACAACUAAAUGCACAAAGCAGCUUGAAUAUACCUGCCACCAGAGUUCAUUCAGUCCUGGAUAAAGCAUCUGAAAUGGGCAGUGCUUUAAUAAAGUACAUAUGUCUGGGGACUCAAAAUACAGGAAAAACUUAUGAGGAGGACGAGAUAACACUUUCUCCAUUUCUUAGAAAGGGAGAAAAUGCCAAAAAGUUAUUAUUUUUUUUUCCUGAGAAUGCCUCGGCUGGACAAGAACCACUGCAGGUUAAGACAAUCCCCAUAACCCGACACUUGCAGAACAAGUGGGCUCACUUCGUCUUGGCACAGGUAGUUCUGGCAUUUCUAGGGAGAUCUGUAAUUCCAAGUAAUAACCCCGGAGGUUAAUUGAAGUCUGAAAAUAAGUUUAUUUGGUAGGUGGGCUAGAGGGGUUUUUAAUUAUGUGUUUAGAUCAGUGUCGCUUUAAGCGUUAAUUUUGCCUGGGAAAGGAAGCUGUAGUAUCAGGAACAACACCUUCAAACAGCUGAGAUUUGCAGACAGAAAAUCGGGGGGGCUGGCAAAAGCCCAUAGCCUGUUACGGCAGAUGGAAAUGAGCUCUGAAUUAAAAGAAUCUCUUUUGUUUGUUUUGGGCCAAAAAUAACUGGACACUGCGUAAGGCCUGAGAAUGGGUGUUCAGCAGUUUUUUGACAGUCAGGCUGUCAGAAGGAAGCGCUCUGAAAUGCAGACUAUACACAUCUGAUUUUUUUUAUUUUUACCUUAUUUCUCUUUUCUGCUUUGUGUGUCAUAGUCUCCUUGCAGUUUUCCAGAGGAGAGUUACUCUUCCACUUGUUCCCCUUUGCCUCCUACUGAGUCAAUCCCUUUAUUUUCCACCAUUAUUUGUACUGUAGUCACUCCCAGAAUCUGGGAAAUCUUCCUCAGAAGUCUCCUUGUCUCCUGAGCUUACUGCCAACUCUCCCACUAAAGCUUUUCAUUCUUCAUUAUAAAGAAGAAUAAAAGGCCAGAAACGUGCGCCGUGACACCCAUUCAGGUGCCAUUACCCUGUAAUUCUUUAAAAACUCUAUAUGCAUUUAUAGUGGCUGAGAAUUGCUACAGUGGGAAGCCUACGGACUAAAUUGGUGUUAGCACAUGAAAGAGAAGCAAGUGCUGUGGCCUGGAAUGGGGCACCGGGUUCUGGUUUUGGUUUGGAGACUGACUCACUCAGGGAAAUCAUUUCCCUUCUCUGUGCACCUGUUUCCACUCCCCACCUCUAAUUGUCUCUCUGUUUAGACUGGGAGCUCUUCAGGACACAGCCCGUCUCUUGCUGCGUGUACGUACAACGCCUCAGCACAAGGGAGCCUUGUCUUGGUCGGGGCCUUGGGUGUUCGAGUAGAACAAACAAGAAUAGAAGGUAUGCGCAGACAGCGAGGCAAGCUUCCCAGACGUGCUGCCGUGCGAGCAUGUCUGAAACCCGAUGUGCUGGAAGCUGUCUCUCUUCCCAGUCCUUGGCUUCUCUCAGCCGGCCAGCAAAGCAUUAACCAGUUCCAAUUACAAUGGUGAGGUGAACUGGCAUGUUCCCAGUUCCACUGGGAACCGGUGUGAAAUCACUAAACUCAUUUUGCAAACCCAAGCAGCGCCUGAUCGGAACCUCCGUCCCGCACAGCUACCGACCUGCCUGGAGCUGUGCCACCUCCCUGCAGGUGAAAAGCUCCUUCCGUCGGCCCUGAAGCUCAGAGCCAUCUCAUCCCGCUCCCAGCCCACACCACACACGCUGGAGCCUGCUCCAAUUUGCCAGCAGAGAAACGAGCAAAACCAUUUUCUCCUUUCCUCCCUGGUCUGAGGAGGUGCGUACAUGUCUCUCUGGCUUUUCUUCUUGUCCGCCGGCUUUUGCAUAGCCCCUUCCUCCCAUCGCCUGCUCAUUCCCUGCACUCCAUCCCAUCUUUUGCAUUCCUCCCUGGUUUGAUACAGCAUCUCGCCAGUCCUGCUUCACACUAAGAGAAGGGGUAUUAGAUGGAUUCCCCAUAGAGUAUAAAUUGAAUGGAGAGAAGUGGCUGGUUUCCCAGCAAUAAUUUAUCUGAUUAAAAAAAUACUCCCCAAACUCCCCCCUCCUCCUCUGGUCGUACGCCCCCUCCAAAAAAGAACAUUGGCACUCAGGCUAGUGUUUGAACUGUAUUAUUCAAGUUGCUGGAAGGGGGAUUUAGAUGGGAAAAUAACUGUCAAAAGAUGGCUCUCUGGGGAAAAAAGCAUGAGCUCUGAAAUUUGGGACAUGGGUUGUUGUAUGGAGGAGGCAGAGAGAGUAAAUAAUUCUGAGUCAAGUACCUCCGUGAUUUCUAGCUUUGCCCUCAUCUAACAAAUAUUUUACACCGGUGAGCACAGAUGCACAUGUACAUGUGCACACACAUGUGCCCCCGCACACACGUUUCAGAGAAGAAGCCAUUAGCAGUGACUCCAAAGCACAGCAAGCUGUUCCUGCUUUUCCCUUUCUCCUCUCUUUGUUUUUGCCUUACUUCAGGGCAGGUUCCAAAUAAAAGAAAAAUCCGCUUCAUAAAACGCUUGUCUCCUUGUUUGUUACCUGUGCAGGUUUUAUUCCUUUCAAGUCAGCGCCAUCCAAGGCUGGCAGUUUUCUUCUCCUGCCAAAGCCAACAUUCCUUUACUCACACAGACUGGGGUAACUGGGGAACGGAAAAGUCACCCUGACACCCCUCUUCAUCACAACAAAGCAGCGUAGGUGACCUGAACUACGUGUUUCUGGCCUGUCUGUAUUUUGCUGUUGCCUUUUUCUUUGUGGGAGAGAGGCAGGUAUUUUAAAUUUCAUACUGCUCCCACAGUACGCCGUGAUUUAUAACAGGAGCUACCUUAUUAAUGUCAAGGGCCGAAUUGCUACCGAUGCUCAAGCUGCAGGAGCGUAUGAAAAUCAUUUAGUUAGCGAUGGCGUGGUCCCAGCACCGAGGGCUGUUAGCUGAUGUACAAUCCUCUCUCUGCUCGCAGCCUCCGCCAAGUCUGCCUGCUCAUUUCUGGGCCAGUGGGUGAAACAUGAACAGGCCCAUUCUGAACCGCAGCUUUUCAACCUCAGAGCAACCUUAAGCGAGUCGCCAGGACUCGGGUUUCCUUGCUUUUUGACAGGAGUACUGUUCAGAUGAAACCUCUCUCCGCUCCUUCUGGAGGAUUUACACUGCCACAAGUCUUCAUUUUUUCCAGAUGUUUUACCUAAUAAAUCAAGGAGUCUCAUCAGAGGAUUUGAAUCCAAAAGCUGUUACCAUGACUUCAAAGGCGCAGGCUGGAAUGGAAAGAAGCAGUGCAGACAUUUUAUACCACUCUGUAGUCACCGACCAUGAAAAUACACUCUGGUUCCAGGAUUUUUUCCUGUGGAUACCAAAACUCCACCGUGAUUGAAUAAAAUGGUGCCGUGCUCCUUCAGCCAACCCUUGCUUAAAAGAAUGGAGCUGCAGACCUCGCAGGCUGUACGGUUGGCAUUGGUGACCGAGGAUGGGGCUGGUCCUGGGAGGAGGUGAGCUCUGCCAACCCCCGUGCAAGAUCAGGGACCGUUAACUCAGGUUUGAGCUUGCUCUGUCUUUACAGAUCAAUACGUGGCUGCGUAUUUUCUCUCAGUGAUAGUUUAAGCUGUUCUCAAGUAAAGGAUUCAGACGUCCGUUCAUAUUCUUCAGAUUGUUGGGAGAGAAGAAGAUAAAAAGAGUUACAUGGCUGCAAAGUGUGUUUGUGAUUAUUUGUGCCGGUUUGUUCCUUGAUCAAGAAUGUGACUUCUUUUUUUUUAAUAUAGUGAACCCUUUCUUUUUACAGUGACUAAAUGGUGUCAUUUUCUUUCACUGUUACAUUUCUAAAGAUAAAUGCUCCAGCGUUUUGAGAAACUGUUAUGUAUGUGUUUCUAAUUACUCGAUAGCACAGUGUACUGCAGGAUAAUGUAAUGAAGAAAAGCAGCUGAAGAAAGAAAAGAUGUUCCUGCAGGUAGUCGAGCUGAAGGCCUAUGAGACUGCGUUUUGGUUCCCUGCUUUCCUGAAGAGUGCUGGUGUGGCUCCGGCUGCUCUAGGUGCUGCCCAUCAGAGGUGCCCAAGCUGUGGGGCCACAUGCUGAAGAGUUUCCCAGUUGAAUUUGUCUCACCGCUUCACAAACAGUUGCAUGAGCAGGACGGAGUGGAUGGUGCCAGGUGAGGAACAAGCUGCUGGUGGCAGGAGGGAGAAGGUGGUGUGGCUGUGGGGAGCGCCUGCAGCCAUGAAGAGGGGUGCCCAGCUUGAGUGUUGAGUUUCCAGGGAGGAUUUGGGCUCUCUCCUUCGCAGGCCUGCCUCCCUGCGAAGCCACGAAGAGGGGAGGCUGGGACAACCUCCUGAGGGUGCCUACAGCAGGUGAGGUGCGCAGAGACUUUGGCUCGCGCUGUCUGCGGAUUCUGGCACAUGAAUAAGUUGUCACUGGGGGCUGUCGAGGGAGGGCUGAGCUAACCCUCUCUUACAGUGCUUGCAGGUUAAAAGCAUGCAGAGCUCUUACUGCAAAGCAGAUGUGUGCUAAACUGCUCACGAGCCAGAUCUCCGAGGGAAGUGGAGACCGGAGCUCUUGGAGUGCUGUGAAAAUACUGUGCAACCACCAGUAAACACAGAUUUGGGACGUGAAUUUACUCCACUUAGACUAUAUUCUGUGUGUCCCAGGCAGCAGUGAGAGAGAGGGCAUUUGGUGCUGCAACAUGCUUCACCAGAUCUUAAAAAAUCGCCAUGGUUGCCCAACAGGUUUUCACGUAGGAUGUUUCAGGGCAGGGGACGUCCUGCUGCAUUCUGGUGGAGGGUUGUCAGGGUGGGAAGAGCCAGGUAAGUAUCUCCUGCGUUGUGAUGAUAUCAUCAGACUGAAAAAUAACCUCAUCUGAAUAUAAAUGUUAAAUAACCGUUACCACGAUACAGUUUGUUCCUGCCACAGACUUCAGAAAAAUUGCUGCUUAUCUUCCCUCCCCCAAGAUGCUGAAGCCCAGCACCCCAAACUGUCGUGACUGCCUGGGAUUGGUGACAUCUAGAGUGAUACGUGUUGGAUCAUCCGAACGGAGUGGGAGCAGCACAGCUCGGCUUCGGGAGCCAAAAAUAGGUACUAUCAUUUCUGAGCUGAAGCCUCCCUUCUCUUUCCCCACCCAGCCCUGCCUAUUUGGCACAUGCAGCACGUUAUCGUGGUGUUCACAUGGUGCCAAAGAAAAACCACAUUCCUAAAGCAAGCAGCGCGUUAAGUAGCGGACAUGCUUUGGAGGCAGAGUAUAUUAUAACAUGGAUCCUAAAUUAGUGAGCACAAAUGACAAAGGUUUGCAGAUUUUCUACGGGCAGUGGGUAUAGAAGGGAGUACGGCUCAUCUGAUGCAUUGCCAUGUGGAAAAGCAUCAGAGAUGUUCAGAAACGUGCCGUAAAAUAGGGAGCUUGAAUUCCUUUCACUGGACAGCUGCUCACAUACUUGUAACUGAAUGAUUGAGUGAUGAAUGUAGCACGUUUGAUUUUUCUCUGCAUCUUUCAUCUCUUUUAUUCUGUAGCUCUGUGAAUCUUGGUCAUACUUUCACCUUUUUUUUAAAGUCUAGUCACUGGAGUAAGUAUUUGUCUGCUUCUGCCAAAUCCCAAAAGCUACAUUUCAUUAAAAAAACACGAUUAUUCAGGAAGGGUGAAGUUUGAUUCACAAAGAUAACGCUCUUUGAAGAUGUCUGCUCCUUUGGUGGUGACUGAUUUAAAUGGGCUCCGUUUUAGUAUGCCUGUUAUGCUGUUCUCAAGGCCACACAAAGGAGGAGGAAUUGUGUGAGGCCAUAUAAAUCAGGGUUUGUUAUAGGGAUGUCAAACACAACUGCACCACGGGGUGUUAAUGGUGAGCAGGCAAGUAGUCAAAAGCAAGUCAGAACCAACUAAGAAAAGCCACAAAGCUAAUCUGUCUGGUUCUUGAUGCUUCCCAAAAGUGCAGUGUCGGCACACUCAUGUUCUGUUCUGGGAGAAGCUUGGAGUGUUAGACUGAUCCAUAUCGCGUUUUCAAAGUGCUCCAGUAAUUGGAUGAGUAGGUUUGGUGGAACAUCGUUGGAUCUCAAUUUCUCCCAUCAGGAAAGAUCUAAAAAUGAAGCUAUGUGAGCACAUCACCAGUCCAGGUUUCUUCCUUCUAACACCAAGCUCACUCCACGAGCUCAGCUAAAGCAGCGGUGACCAGGCCACUGGAAACACACAGUAAAGGACCUGUUGGAUUAAACUUCCAUCAAACAGUUGAUCAUUGUGUGGAGGAAGAAAACUCCCAAUCUUUGUGCAUGCAAAUAAGAGUUUCCUCCUUUUCCAGCAGCACUUUGUGAGCAGAGUGGAGAGCAGCCAAGAAAAUUUCACCAGACUGAGAAAUAUAAAAAACUUUUCAGUGCACACACGAAGUGAAAGCUCUCAAGCAAAGUUUUGUGUGUACUCGACCACAGAGAUACUGCCCGCACCAGACCCUUUCUCUAGAAAUGUUCCCCCUCGAUAUGGCUGCUGCAGUGGGCCCCGUGUUGCAUCUCAUAGUUGGAUUCUUCCAGGUCCUGGUGACCUCUCCUUCUGCGUGGAUCAUUUAUGUGCAGGUUCAUUGUGAGUUAAGUCCCGAGGCUCUGACUUCAUUGAGUUCCUGAGUGCUGGAAUAAGAAGUGAUUUGGGACCUGGGUGGUGCAGCCUUUGGAGAAGGUGCCAAUGCACGUGCUGUCCCCCUUCCUCAGCCCCAUAGUAUAGGAAGCCUUGAGCACUUCAGGUUUUUGGGGGGUUCCGCUCACUCUUUCCAUCACCUGCUCUUGCCUUUAAGACCCAAGGCUGCAUAAUGGACCAUGAGUCUCAAAGGCAGGUUUAUGGGCACAGAGCAGACCAUGGGAGGGAUGUGGUUUUCUGUCCCAGAAAGAACGCGCAAUCUCUGCAGUUUUCCAGAUAGCUGUUAGUCCAGAAGAGAAACUGAGCUCAAACCUCCUGAAAAGUAGUGUGCUUUCUAGCCAAAAUGAAGCUGUUAGAGCUUUAAAAUGGACCGUGAGGCUUCUUUUGUACAAAAGGAAUUCAAGACCGUGGAAAGUUUCAGGGACUGAAUGUAGGUUGUGAGCCAGGAUGUUGGAUGAUCACAUGAGCCCAUUGGACAGACUGCCCACACGUGCUCGCACAUGUGCCUGCGAGCACAUACCACUGUGGUUUCUCUAUUAGUUUUUGUUAUUUCUCAAUAUUCCCAUUAAUAUUUAAUGUAUUUAUCUUGGUUGCUGGUAAUGACGGCAGUGAAAGUGCUGACUCUGAUGUCCCUCUGGGAUGUGACAUUGGCUUCGGACAAUCCAACAUUUUUGUGUGGGCCUGCAAAAAAUGUCCUGCCUGCUACCCUCCAACCCCAAGAACAUUCCUGGCUUCUCUGAUAACAUCCUUAAGCACAGCACUGAUAUAAAGACUUUCCUUUAGAUGAAUGACCUGACACUUCCAAAUAUUUAUUUUCUGGGACUUCUGGGUUACUAGAAGCUAUUUGAAUUCCAGCUAUUCCUAGUAAGAAGGACUUCAGCUAUCUCAGUCCUAUACCUAUAGCAUCUUUCCGUUUCACAGAUAAUAUGUUGGAAGUAAACAAAUUUGGCAAGACUAGCAAGCAGGGAAUGAGAGUCCAGAUCAGGACAGACUGGAAUAACAGUGGUGCCCUGGUAGCUUUUUGGACAACAGUAAAUGAAACGGGAAAAGAAGAGUCCUGGUAGGUAGGAGGAGCUGGGUGAACUCCAGGCAGGGAACAACAGAGGGUGCUGCAGGUCACAGCCGCGCUGUGGGAAGGGUGGCACAUGCUUCAGUCGAGGUGCGGGGAUGCAGCUGAGAUCCCUGGGGGUGGCCGGUUGUGUUGCGACAGCGACGGAAAUGACUGUGGGGGAACGAUGGGUGAGGAAAGACCGAGGUGGGGCUGAGUAACACCAGAUAUGAGCCAGCGGGGUUCACGUCUCCCUUUAAAAUCAGGUCAAGCAGAGCCCUGCUGCUCGUCCUGAACAAAAGGGCUGUGUUUAGGAAGUGGCGGCUCCCCAGCAGCCAGUUUGUCCGUGGGAGCUGGGUGCGCUGCAGGGCAGAGGAGAGGAUGCACGCAGACAGACGCGGUGUGCACACAGGUACCCUCCAGCUCCAUGCACAAAGCUGGAUUUUGCCUUUGUGAACAUUUGCCAAUUAUAACAUAUCGUGUGCGUCAAUAGUGCCUCUAACUUGCCUUAAUACCUUUUUAUGAGAAUAAAAUUUGUUCUUAUAUGGUGCUUUUCAUGCUUGAGGCAGUUCAAAGCGCUUCGCUAAGCACAGUAAUGAGUUGGAUCUGGGGAGCGCAGUGAUUGUGUAGGCAAAUACAGGGACUUUUAUGUGCUCUGCAAUAAUUCACAGAGCCGCCUAUGCUAGCAACUGUUUUAUUUAUUGAAGGGAGGAAUGUUGGCUGGAUCUCAUGGUUGUCCUCUGGAAGAUUUUAAUGAUCUUUAGCUUCCAUUAUAGCAAGGCACCUCGGAGAAACUGGAGCCAAGAGACCUCGCUCGAGGAACAACGUGUGGAGCUGCACAGGGCUGAGGCAGCCGUGUCCGCUGAGGGGAGGGGCCCGAGAUCAGCUGCAGCCCUUCAGCCUGAGAUUUACCUUUCUCAAGCAUUUUGCAUCUCUCUGAAUCCUCCCCGUGCCUUCAGGCUGACUCUGAUAUUUGAUGUCUCUUUUACCUUACUUUUAGUUGUAAAAUAAAAGCUUUUUUUCUCUGGGACCUUCCACCCCUAGGUCUUGAAGAGGGAUUACUGAGUUUAACAGUGUCACUGUGAAACACCAUGGAAAUAUUGCUCUUCUCCACGGGAAUAAAGGCAGAUUUAAGGCUAGAUCCAAGCAGACAUCUGAAGUGAAAUUUGCACAGAAUUUAGGCACCUUUGUCCAACGUUAUGAUCCUGAAAAACCUGCUCUCAGCUUUCCCUGCUGCAGGAGCUGUCUGUGCACUGCAGACUUUGUUUUCAGUGUUUCUUCUUCCCGUGGCUUCUCAAAGGCACUUGGGGGUAUAUUUUGCCAGACAGACCUUUCCUGAUGCUGACCUGCUGGCCAGACCGUGUCUGCGAUUUCUCCCUAGAAUAUUUGGGUCAAAAUGAACUGGUGUGGUGGAGGAGAGCAGUAGCUGUGCUUCCACUGGCCUGCCCAUCUGUGCUGGUAGGUCCCCUGUGCAUGACUGCAAAACACCAUGUCCAGUCCAGUCCUCAAAGUAAAUGCAUGUCUUUUUACCUUUUCUAGACGAGGCCAAAUGAUCCCUAGUACAUUGCCCGUAGCUUCUGUGGGGACAGAGUAAGGGUUGGGGUGCCAUUCCUAAUAUUAGAUAGGCCUUGGUGGAAAAUACACAUUAUCCACUUCUGCACUACAGCGAUAUUUCUCCAAAGGGAGCCAGCUUUUUCCUGUUGCUGUGUGAUGAUUUGAGGAUUCUAUGAUUCCAGAAGCCUAAUGAAGAAAGUGAGUGGAGUCAAACAGGAAGAUGCUGGCCCUCUAGGCGUUCUGUCAGUGUAGACAUCUUCAGAGACUCGCUACCUACACAGUGACCUGGCCUGUGCAGCUGGGCUCUUUUGGGCGGUUUAGUGUAUUCGGCUUACUGAAGUGCUUGCCUUCCUGGCAGAGGGUUUACCCUUUGGUGUCCCCUUUGCGCACCACAGCAGCCGUACAUAGCAAAAUAGUUAAAGAAAGAAGUUUUUUUGGCAUUUGUGAUGCCCCAGGAAGCCUUCCAUGUUCAAGGAUAGCCUUGAAACGCCUCCUUAAGCUCCUGUGAGGCCACUUAUGCUGCGCCUCCUGGGAACAAAGAGAAUUUGCAUGACUUUUCAACAUCUCCUGCCUGCCCAGUGAUUUGUGUGCUAACUCAGAAUAACAGUCAUUACCUCUCCAGAGUUCGGGGCACUAGAGGGUUUCAAACUGCAUUGCAAACAGGGCAACCCCGCUGACAUGAAUAGAGCUGGUCAAUUUGGAGUGUAAACAGAGUCUGACUUACUAUUAAUUAACUUCCUAGCAAUCACAGAGGUAAGAAGAGAAAGGUGUCACUCAGUCUCCUCUGGAAUGGGACAGGGGAGAGUAGCUUGAAUUGUCCAGAGCAAAAUGACACCCAGCUAAGACUGUAAGUAAAGAUUAAUACACUCUCUAAUUGAAACCAGACGAAACAUUCAACUAGGCAGCCUACAAAUGCUUUACAAAAAGUACAAAGCAAAUGCUUUUUGUAUAAGCAUUAAUCUUUAUGCCUCACUAGGGUCAUAAGCACGAGUGAGAGUGCAAGGAGAGCAUUCGGCUCGGUCAGCAUUGGUCUGUAAAGAUCUAUGUCCAGUUCUGCACUUAAUUCUCAUUAUCUGGGGCUAUUCAUUAGCUCCUUUCAGUUUCGCUGUGAAGAUCUGUAUGUUAGGUCUCCUGAACGCUCUUGCACAUAAAGAUCUGUCAUUGAUUGCUCGGGCAGCUAAAUUGGGUAGACAGUUCACUGCUCAAAGGUAUCUCAACUUUGCAUCCUUUUCUGCUGGGGCAGGAAUACUGGGGAUGACUUCAAUCUUAUUGUAAUCUGCUUGUACACAUUGCUUUUCUAAUUUCAUGCCUAGGUAUGGCAUUUCCAUUACAAAGGAGUUUUGUUGGUUGAGCUCUGCUGGUCUGGGCCUUUCAAAAGCUGAUCAGAGCUUCUGGUCAUGUGCUUCUCCUCUUUUCCUGCAGAACAAAACAUCAUCUACACAGAUCCUAGGGUAUCAAAGCCCAAGAAACAGUUCAAGUGCCAAACACAACCCAAAUGGCAGCCUGAGAAAAUUAUGUCUCCCAUCGGGGCUGUUGAAUAUGCACAACGUAUGGUCUGUUUUCCUAACGUGCCUGUCAGAACCCUGCUGAUGCCUCCAGCAGAGAAAAAUAUUUGGCAAGGCCAUUUCCCCCCCAACUUUACUCCUUGCAGGAAACAGAAAAAGUUCUUUUACUACAUAUUUAUUUGUACUUAGCUGUAAUCACAAAGGGUUGCAUUUUUCCCCCUUUCUCUGGUGACCCGUGAGUGUCCACUUGCUGUCAGUUCUGCAUUUCCUCUUAUCUUUCACAGAGCUGUGAGCCUUUUCACCACCCCUGCCUCUCGUGUCUGCUAUACUCCACGUAUCACUUUGAUAGAGGAGAUGAGCUUUAAGGUGGGUGCGCUCUAUUCGGGUUUACCCAGCACCCUGUGCAGGCUUCCCUAUUUUUUUUUAAAUCCUCAUUCUCUUGUUCAGGUACCCCGGGGAAGGUGUUCUAAUGUGAACAAGGCUUUUCAACACAACUAUGUACUCUGCUAAUUUUUCAGACCGUCUCUUUUGCCGUCUGUUGUUUCCCCAUAAAUUUAACACUGGAUUCCUUUGGUCAGAGAGAAGAUCCCCGCUGUAAGUGCUGACGUAGAGCAGUUUCUCUCACUACCCAAUUUCAAGAGUCUGCUUGCAGCUGUUUUUGAGGGGCCAUUAAUACCAAUUUAUCUUUCAAGCCGUGGUUUGCUCACCCUCUGCUACAGUGUCACCCCACCCUGCCCUGGCCCAUGAAGUACUCCGGAGGGGGGUUUUCUCCACACUGACGGCUGUGUUGGCAUUCGCACGUGCUUGAUAUCAUCCAUCACUUGUGUCCCAAAGAUCGGUUCACUGGCCUCAGACCCGCAGUUUGCAAGGUGGUCUCCAAAUCAGCUGCUGCGGUGCAACAGAUCCAGCACUGGACUCAUCGAUGCCCGUGUUAAUUUACUUCCUAGCAUGACCUGGCUCACUGCAGAUGCUGCAACGACAACCCCAGACAGAGCAGAUGAGCGCUGCCUGAUACCUGGCCUCCACAAGCGCAGCUGAGCAGCCCCCUGACCAGUGGAGGGGUCCCAGAGCUGGAGAGAGCUUCCUGCCAGGCCGGCCUUCUAGACUAUCACCUCUCUGGGGAAAGGACUUGCUUUUAUUGUGCGAUCCUACACUAGUCUAGUACAAUAGGACCCAACCUCAGGUAAGACCUUUAGGCACUCCCAUUAUGUGAAUGAGAACAAGAUUGUUGGUGUCAGUAAUUAACAUUCUUGUGGGAUUGUUGGAAAUGCUUUGGGAUAAACACCACCUGGAAUCCUCGUCUGGCUUACUUGGAUUUUUAAGCUGCAGAGGAGGCUGAUCCUGUUCACGCGAGAGGGCACGGACCAUCUGUCUCUUCUCUCACUGGGUGUGCAAAAAGUCUUUCAGCCCAGAGAGGAGUUAUGGUACCUCAGCGAGAAGCGGGACACUGGAAAAGUGAGGGCAUUGCCAGUGGGGAAGAAGAAUGGAGACUCGAUUUUCAGUGUGUCUCCAGUGAUGAUCCCACCUGAGAACAAAGACUAUACGGCAACAACCAAAACAGAGAGAAAAAUACCAAACUAAGUGUCCCUGAUAACACUGUGAAUGCCUGUGGCACAGUGUCAUCCCAUGACAGGCUUCCAGAGAUGAAAUCUCACUCUGGUUACUUGGAUGGCAAAAAUCCCAUUGACUGCAAUAACACCAGGCUUUCCCCUUGGGGGUUACCUGGAUUUCCCUCCUUCUGAAUGCCCAGACAGCCACAUCCCACAUUAUUAUGCACGUUCCAAUAACAAAUAAAUUAUUCUUUUCCUUUAAAGUGCGGACUGGAUUUGGUAAACCCUGUGUUUUGGAUUCUAGGUUCCCUCUAUCUACCUCUGAAAUCCCUAAAUAAACAAACAUUGGAUUAGACCUCAAAAGCUCCCUCCACUCAGCAACUGAAGCUUUUAAAAGCAUUUCACACCAACUGCUCCACUCGUAUUUCAGAGUCCGUUAAACACUGACUCAAGCGAAGGAGCUCCAUCUUUCUCUCAGACUUCCCAGGGAACUAACUUUAGUUAUUGGAAGGUCUGCCUCCAUUUAUGACCCUCCCUGACUCCAGUGAGGAGCUGGAAUUGUCUAGCUGUUGACAUCAGGAAUGACAUAAAUAUGUGCUGGGGUUAGAGGGUUUCUGGCAAACGGCCCGUUAACCUAGGAUUUGCUCUGCACAGUCAGGCGGGGAUGACUUUUAACCUCAGAGCAGUUUUCAAAACCGCAUUUGUGACCAAUAAAUAUGAAAAUAAAAAAAAAUUAAAAACUAGUCCCUACUGAAUGAUGGAAGACAGCCUACCUGGCUGGGCACUGGGGUGCUGGAAUCAGUAUGGAGACCUGUGCAGGAAUAACCAGACAGGUCACCAUUGCCAGAAGGUCUGUGGGUGCAGCCGAUACCUCGUACACAAGGGAGGCAGCGCAGCAGAUUAAACCGAAGCUAUCUCAUAGCUGUACCUCUUAAACUCAAUGAGACAGCUCUUUAUUUGCGCUGCAGCCCCUUUUUAUCCCAAAAUUGCCUUAACCAGCUGCUAGAGGAUGCCCAGUAAUGGGAAAUUCUCUAGAUAACAAUAAAUUGGUGUAACGAUUCAGUGUCACCUCACAUCCUGCUAAGCAAUAGAGAAAUCAUGAUCAGAAAAACGGACACAACCAGAGUGCCACUGAGCAGUCGAAUCCUAAUUUCAUCACUCUUCUUGUGGGCCACAGAUAACACAGUGCAAUUUACAGCAGCUCUGAAGCGGCUCCAAAUCUCAGCAGGAGUCAGAAAGGCUCAGCAUUGGCCGGGACUGAGGAGUCGCAAAAGACCCGUGAAGCGGUCGUUGUUCCAUGACCUUGCUUCUGCACCAAAAACCAGUAGGCUGGUUUGAAAUAUGAAGCACCUCAAGCAAAAGAUAAAAUUUUAAUCACUGCAAUUAAGGUCCUCCUCUGGGUCCCUCUCUGGAGAGAACUGUCUGUCUCCAGUGAGCACGCACAGACUCCCAACGAAGGUAAAUUUUGAAUUCAGAACUGUACAACGUCAAUGUGUGAAUGACAGCAUUAAAUCUUGGCUGUAAGGCUGAGAUAUCUCCAAGAGGAGAAAAAACACUUUUUCUACUCAACCAUGUAGCAGUGGCUGAGGUAGAUGAGGUAAAUUUAUUGUCUCCAUCUAUUAAAGGCCGAGGGAAUCAUUCAUACAUGUAUAUUACAUGUUUGCAGCCUAAAGGUGUUGGGUUUUUUUUAAUUCAAGAGUUUAAAAGUUUAGAAAUGCCGACAUGAAGGUGGCCUGUGCAACUGUAAUUUGUCCCUUUUGUGCAUUUGCAUUAUGAUACAACUAUUUAAUUGUAAUUAGAUCACACGCUGUUCUUUCGACAGGUUCCCGGCCUCACUCAUUGUACAGAAUAGACUGUGCUCACUAAGUAAUAAUUUUAUUUUCUCCUCGCUGUUCACUAUGUGGCCCAUGCUUUAUUUACUGCACACUAUUCAAAUAUUGUUCUGAAGACAGAUUUAUUCAUUUCCUCCUGGGCUUUUCCAUGGUACUCAUCACUAUGGUAUCCAAGUGCUGCACAAACUCUAAUUUAUUUUCUCAACAGUGUUGCGAGAACUGGCGUUACCCUUAUUUAACAGAUGAGAAACUUAGGCAUACAGACAGAAUAGUAAAAAAUAUCUUUUAAUUUUAGAUAACCAAUUAGAAAUACUCAUGGCCUGAUUUUGUCAGAAGAUAUAACAUGGCAAAGCAUAUAAUUUAGUCAGAAGUCGAGUAAGUUCUUAUUUACUGCAGAUAUAUCUGCAAGUGCUCUUCACUUCUGCAAAUCAAACUUCAAAAUGUCAAAUCAGGCACCUAGGAAGGGAAGACUACACAAUUAGUGCAUUGCUGUGAAGUCUCUGCUUAAGCACUGUGCUUUGCGUCCCACAGGAGUCCUGGGGCUGAAGCCCUUUGCUGGAGCUGCCAGUAAAGAUGUGAGAGAUUUCCAGGUGGUCUUCACUCCCCUUCCUAAAUCCUCGGCCUUCCUGCCCUGCCUCCCUUCCUCAGUCCCUGUCAAUCCCAUUUCUAUACCACUGUUUCUAGUGAAUUCCCUCUUCCCGUUGCCCUUGCUGCAUCCCACACUCAGCCUCGGGGUCGCACAUCCUCCUCCCUCUCCCUGCUCCAGCUCACCUGUCUGAUCCCUUUUGCCCAGCGAGUUCUCCUUCAGCCCUUAGCCAGAGAUUGUACUGGUGUUGAUAGCCCCAGCAUGUCAUUUUCCUGGCAAUUUUCCCCCAUUCCCAGCCUGUUUUCAAGUCUUCUUCCAAUAGGCUGGCUUCCAGACUCUUGCUUAUGAGCUUUGCUUUAUCCCUCCCUCCAGGCAGUCCCAGUUUCCCCUUCCAACUCCCCGUUCCCGUUCACCGUCCCGGAGAACCUGUCUUUCUCCAGACCCUCUGUGCCUGCCAACAUACUCUGCCCCGACCCAGUUCUUGUCCUCACCACGUGUUAUUCAAGGAGCUUCCCGCUCGUGUUGCCCGAGACGACUGGAAGGACAGGUUCCCCGCUCGCCCUUCCUACCUUCAGACUUGGCAUGGUCCAGAGCAGCCGGGAACUGGAACUACAGGUCCAGCUCCGACUCCCACAGCCUGGGGCUGUGAGGCGCUGGGGGAGGAUGGAACCGCUGGAGAACCACACUGGGGAGCGCUGCUAAGCCCCCGCUGAGCACAAGCGGAAUUUUCAGUAGGGUUUUUCAUGGCAGGUUUGGAGGGAACGCCUCUGACGAAGUGACCAUUCUCCUUUUCAGACUCCAAGAACCCUGACAGAAGAAACGAAAGAAGAAAUGUUUAUAAUUUAACCCAAGGUAUGAACUUAGGAUGGUUAAAUUUCAGCACAGUGGUUAGUCUGGCACUAUUAAAAGUGACUGGAGGUAGGAUUUUAUGACGGGAAUUGCUAACCAGCUUUAAUAGGAGUUAUACUACCAGUCCUGCCUUUUAAUCAGUGCUUCCAUUUUCAGUAUAAAUUACAGUUUGUAGCUGGUAGUCCUUCUGGCAGAUCAGAUAUCAGCGUAACUCGGCAAGCGUAAUACGGAGAAACCCAAACAUCCUUCUGGGGAGGUAAUUAUUCAUCAUUGCCAAAAGGCUCCGGGAUAUUUUUAGUGGAGGACAAACCCCCUGUUUCCUGACAGAAACACCGAACAAAAUUGUAAAAUAAUGAAGCAAGUUUCAUGAUGAGAAACACUUCAGACACCUGUAUUGGCUGAGACUUUGUAGUCACGUCAAUGUUUAAUUAGUCACGCACGUCUCUGCAUCCCUAUGUACAGCAAAACGCACACCUGCGUUCUGGUGUGCUGCAAAAUGUGUCGGCGUCUGCCUCGCUGAAAAGCCUCUAAACAAGCAAAUCUGCAAAUCCCGCUGGUUAAGGGAUAAUUUCAUGGGAAGACGGAGGUGCCUACAGCAAGAGGGACACCUUUGCCACAUGCACAGAGGUUAUCAAAGUAAACUUUCCUGAAAUUAGUCCUCAACUCCUUAGCAGAAGUGUCACUUCCCGCUGUAAAACCCCGUUUCUUUCUGGAACAAAUUAUUUUAAGCUAGUUUUAAAACAUUUUGCGAUACAAACACAUGUUUUUGGGCAUGUACCCGUCUUUCCCAUCUCGUGGUGCCCCAGGGGUACGGUUAUCUCAUGGUUACCACUUCUUGAGCCCUGGCGCUCCGUGAUUUAUGUACUGAAAGAGACAAUUCAAUUAGUCAAUCAUAAAAUGAGCAAGGAUAACGUGCACAUUGUAAAAACACAGUUUAGUGGGCAACAAGCUGAGAUACAAAAAAAUAUAAGGGUAGACUUCAUAUGAUUAAUGAAGGAGGAAUGUAUAUUUAUAGCUCUUAUUGUGUCCUUUGUAAGGAUACGGGAUCCAACAGUACAACUAAAACCGCCUGGUAACCAUGCAGCAUUCAAAUGAUUUGGAUUUGAAUGGCAAAUGCUGUAUAAAACUAAUUACCCCCAGGAGGAUGAAAAUACAUUUCAUUUGCCUUUUCAAAGUAUGUUUGGUCUUUUCUUCACAUCUAUUUAUCCUUUGGUUUGUUGAGAAACAUGCCUGUUACGAAAGUCGACAUCCCAAAUUGAGCAGCAGAGGUGUCCUAACCAUCCCCCCCCCCCAAAGAAAACAAGUUUCUGCAAGUUAUUUUUACACGAUUAGUGUGAUUUCUGUUCUCUCGGUAGCUCUGGAGGCAGGAUUGCCGCAUCUCCCUGCCGGAUUCCAGCGACACACAGCGCAGCGACUCCUCGCUUCGCAGCUACUCCCCGACUCGCCGAAUGCGCAAGGAUAACCAGAUUGGCGCUUUUUAAUUUGUUUUGGCACGUCUUCGUGCACGCCACACGUGCAGCU